rnacentral:rRNA from 1 species
UGAGGAAUAUUGGUCAAUGGGCGAGAGCCUGAACCAGCCACGUCGCGUGAAGGAAGACUGACCUUACGGUUUGUAAACUUCUUUUGUAGAGGGGUAAUGGCAGAUAUGUGUAUUUGCGUGAAAGUACUCUACGAAUAAGCAUCGGCUAACUCCGUGCCAGCAGCCGCGGUAAUACGGGGGAUGCGAGCGUUAUCCGGAAUUAUUGGGUUUAAAGGGUGCGCAGGUGGCUAAUCAGGUCAGUGGUGAAAAGCUAUGGCUCAACCAUGGUCUUGCCAUUGAAACCGUAUAGCUAGAGAGGAGACGAGGUAGGCGGAAUGUGUGGUGUAGCGGUGAAAUGCAUAGAUAUCACACAGAACUCCGAUUGCGAAGGCAGCUUACCAGGCUUUAUCUGACACUUAGGCACGACAGCGUGGGGAUCAAACAGG